UACGUAGGGGGCGAGCGUUGUCCGGAAUCAUUGGGCGUAAAGCGCGUGUAGGCGGCUUGGUAAGUCUGGUGUGAAACCUUGGGGCUCAACCCCAAGCCUGCACUGGAUACUGCCUGGCUUGAGUCCGGGAGGGGAGAGCGGAAUUCCUAGUGUAGCGGUGAAAUGCGCAGAUAUUAGGAAGAACACCGGUGGCGAAGGCGGCUCUCUGGAACGGUACUGACGCUGAGAGGCGAAAGCUAGGGUAGCAAACGGGCUUAGAUACCCCCGUAGUCCCUGA
rnacentral:rRNA from 1 species